UGUAAUGAAAACCCAGACGCGCAAUCUCUCCCUAUAUAUUCUGCAUGUAUUGAGGUAGCCCAGUUCCACAAGGGCCGCGUGUCCACGGGAUUCUCUCUUACGCAGUAGCCGCUACCUGCAGGGCCAACGAAGAACUAAAUGAGAAUAAGACGCAGAGAACAGAGUCCUGGCCGCCAGACGCAUGUGGAUGAAAAUACAGUGAGAUGAGUCAGAAAAUGGCCAAGGAGGGCCCCAGGCUCUCCAAGAAUCAGAAGUUCUCGGAGCACUUCAGUAUCCACUGUUGCCCACCCUUCACCUUCCUCAACUCCAAGCGCGAGAUCGUGGACCGCAAGUACAGCAUCUGCAAGAGCGGCUGCUUCUACCAGAAGAAAGAGGAGGACUGGAUCUGUUGCGCUUGCCAGAAGACCAGAUUGAAAAGGAGGAGCAGGUCAACCCCAAGAAAAAAGUGACCGAGAAGGAAUUUCCCGUGAAUGGACGGCCUCCGCCUGUGGACUUACUACUUCGCAAGCCAUCUGCCCUCAGACAAACUAUCUGGUCUCAAGGAUGAAGCAGGGUCAGACGCCUGCUGACGUGACAGCUACAGAUGCUCUCAGUCCUCACGGUGUGGGAGCCUCAGGGCAGCCUGCCUGGAGCACUUUGACGAUACCACCCCACCGCCUCCCUCUAUAACUGCCGAUAAGAGAUCUGCCGUCAAUCUUCUCGACUCAUGGACUCAGGAACCUCUAUCUGAAGAUUCGUGUGUCUUCAGGGAUGUGCAAAACAAGUUCGUGUUGCACAGCUAUCCAAAUGGCAAAUAUAAAAGAGAAACUGUUCAGCGUUGGCAUUAAUGUGAAGAAAGUCCUAGAAGCUACCGAUGGGAUUUAUACGUUGUCAUAACACAUGCCAUAAUACCACUGUACUCCAGGACACUAGCAAGGCAGGGUAUCUUAAAACCUCUAACCAAGUAACUAAUUUUAGGCAUCCAUCCUGGAGAAAACUUACACACUUUUAGAGAAGAGAGAAAUACACAAAUUUGUUUAAAAGAUCAAGGUUUGUAGUUAAGAGAGGAACAUAGAAUGUAACUAACCAAAACGUCUACCCACAGGGGAGUGAGAGAAUCAGUUCUGGGAUAUCUGCAAGUAAUGUCCUAACCAGCAGUUAAAAGUCAAUCCGUCAGACAGACCCUGUCAAGCAUGAAAGUCCAGAAAGCACAGCCAGGACUAUACAAAGCAAGCAUCAGGCAGUAAGCCCAGUAUGACAUCCUAUGCAUAAAUAUUGACAGCCCACAGUUUUAUAUUGGUUAUUGCUCAAUAAGGAGGAAUCAUAAGAUAUCAUACUUUUUCUAUAAUGCCAUAGGAUUUAAAAAUGACAGUAAAAUACAAAGAUAUUAAAAACAAACCCUCUCAGAAAUAAAAGUAUAAGAAAUAAUUCCUGGCUUGAAGAAAUAACCCAGUCUAAAAGUUACACAGGAAUGGUUUAACACUACCAGCUGGACAUACAUUUGUUUGGAGAGAGUAAAUGGGAAAUUUGUUAGCAGCCUGGGAUGCUUCCAUGGUUGGUUAUAUAAAUCUUAAACACCAAAAACAUUUGUUUUGAAUCUGUUUUGGGUCUGGGCUAGAGUCCUUGGCUUGUGAUGGCUCCUGACAUGGGAGAAAAGGGAGUCUAUUGGAACACAGCUCUCAAAUUUCCCUUUUGGAACAGGUAGGUAGGAAGGGACAAUAGGAUGUUGGGGAAUGUGGCGGGAUGUAAAACGGACAGUGUCAUGGUGGAGGGAAACCUGGUGGAGGGACCAGAGGAGCAUCAGGAAUGACCUUGUGCUGGGAGCUGGCGUGGCCAAGCACAGGCAGAUGCCUGCAGACCCCACAGGCCACCAUUGCAUCCUCACAGCCAGAGCUGGCAAGGUUCAGAUUCAAGUGCAAGGACGGGGGCCGUGUUCAAGGUGUGGAUCAGGAGUGGCAGGAAGACAGCAAGGAGGAAGGAAGAGGUGGCGAGAAUGCUGCGCCCCAGCAAGAAGAAGCAGGCCGAAUACCGUCCCAAGAUACCCAAAGGGUCCUGGCGUCCUAACAGGAGAGCACUGUGGCCCCGUGGAAGCUCCAGUGUGGCCCCGUGGAAGCUCCAGUGUGGCCCCGUGGAAGCUCCAGUGUGGCCCCGUGGAAGCUCCAGUGUGGCCCCGUGGAAGCUCCAGUGUGGCCCCGUGGAAGCUCCAGUGUGGCCCCUUGAAAGCUCUAGUGUGGCCCCGUGGAAGCUCCAAUGAGAAGGCAAGGAAUUUAACUGUGUAACAACUCAUGCAGAACCUCGGGUGCUAAAUGAACACCUAAGGUGACAACGUCUCUGAGGAACAGGUUCCAACGGUGAGCUGGCACGGCCAUCACCUUCCUGAGUAACUGGGCUGGGAAGAACGGGAAUGGGAUAGGAGCACAUAGCAGCCCUGUGGUGAGCCUCGCCCCAACCCAUUCAGGAAACCACCUUGAUCUUAGCAAAGCGAGACUCCAUCCCCAGAGCUCGCUGUUCCACCAUCCCCUCUACGCCACCCCCAUGACAUGGAAUGUGUGUUAACCCAUGCCCAGCACUGGAUAUUAGCCCGUUAACGUGAAUAACCAGAAACUGCUAAAUUUUGUCUGUCUUCUGUAGAAAUAAAAUCUGGGGAUGGAUCAAAACUACCUGGAGAUUGCUUGAAGCUGGUGGGGGUCGACUGAGCGUCUUGUGCCUUGGGCAUCAAAACUGAAACACAGUGUGAUAGUUAUGUGAUGUUUUUCUGUGUAACAGAAUUCUAGUUUAAAAGGUAGAUUCUGGCCCACAUUCAGGGCAAUGCCUAGCCAUUUCUAACGAUGGGCCUGGUGCAGGUGGCAGAUGUGUGUUAUCUUCAAUACCUGGUAGAAAUAAAGCCAUCUUUUUUUUUUUUUAAUGAGAACCAUGUAAUUGCAUAUCAA